rnacentral:rRNA from 1 species
UGGCGACCGGCGCACGGUGAGUAACGCGUAUGCAACUUACCUAUCAGAGGGGGAUAGCCCGGCGAAAGUCGGAUUAAUACCCCAUGAAACAGGGGUCCCGCAUGGGAAUAUUUGUUAAAGAUUCAUCGCUGAUAGAUAGGCAUGCGUUCCAUUAGGCAGUUGGCGGGGUAACGGCCCACCAAACCGACGAUGGAUAGGGGUUCUGAGAGGAAGGUCCCCCACAUUGGUACUGAGACACGGACCAA